GUUAAAAAGCUCGUAGUUGGAUUUCUGUUGAGGACGGCCGGUCCGCACUAUGUGCGUGUAUCUGGUUCGGCCUCGGCAUCCUCUCGAAAGCCGUUUCUGCGCUUGAUUGCGUGGUUCGGACUUCGGGACUUUUACUUUGAGGAAAUUAGAGUGUUCACGGCAGGCAAGCGCCUUGAAUAUAUUAGCAUGGAAUAAUAAUAUAGGAUCUUGGUCCUAUUUUGUUGGUUUCUAGGGCUAAGAUAAUGAUUAAUAGGGACAAUUGGGGGCAUUCGUAUUAACGCGUCAGAGGUGGAAUUCUUGGAUUGCGUUACGACGAACUACUGCGAAAGCAUUUGCCAAGGAUGUUUUCAUUGAUCAAGAACGAAAGUAAGGGGAUCGAAGAUGAUUAGAUACCGUCGUAGUCUUUACCAUAAACUAUGCCAACUAGAGAUGGGGCUGCGGUUUAUUUAUGACCCGCUCCGCACCUUAUGAGAAAUCAAAGUCUUUGGGUUCCGGGGGGAGUAUGGUCGCAAGGCUGAAACUUAAAGGAAUUGACGGAAGGGCACCACCAGGAGUGGAGCCUGCGGCUUAAUUUGACUCAACACGGGAAAACUUACCAGGUCCAGACAUAGUAAGGACUGACAGAUUGAUAGCUCUUUCUUGAUUCUAUGGGUGGUGGUGCAU
rnacentral:rRNA from 1 species